CAUGGUGACCUUCAGGGCCCAGAACCAGAGGCAAUCCUCAGGCCGUGCAUCCCAAGGAAAUCCUUAAGCUUUCUUCAAGGCAGACAAGAUUCUCUUGUCUGAUCUGGAAAACUGUGCACUACCUUCAUGGUUAAAGGUACUGAUGUAAUAGACACAAGAAUGUGAACAUUGGUCUCUGAAGGACCACACUGAAGUCUUAAAGCUCCCCAUCACACCCCACUCAGUGCGGUUCAUACACACAGAAGAUACAGGGCAUGAACCCUUGGCAUGUAUCUUCAGGAAGUACACAGCAACCUACAUCCCUCAUAUUUAAUACCAAAUAGUCACAAUGAAGAGCUAUUCUGGCCUACAAUAAAAAAAACAACUGCAUGAAGAAAUAAAAACUUAUGUGUGCCAAACUUCA